CCACGCCCUAUCGAGGAAAGCAGCAACGGGGCCAUAGGUAACAGGCAAACGUCAGUGGAACCAGAAACAAUGCCAUCAAACAUGAGCGGCGACCUUGACCAAGCUCCAUGUAGGGAGACAUUCUGGGAGGCGUGGUGAACUUUUCUUCAGAGGAAUCAUCAAUAUUUUCAACAACGGUCUGGUUGCCUCUAAUGAGAAUCACGCAUGUUGAGUUUCCUUCUUCUAGGGGCCCAAGAUUAGGUGCCUGCAAAAUAAGUCCCAAACUAAGGAUACAUGUGGUGGAUAAACAGGUGCAGGAGCUCAUUAUUUAGAUAACUAACGCAAUUACCUCUGGAUGCGCCCCGUGGUUCCACGGGCCAAAACCAUUUCCACGGAAAUUAGGCAUUGGGGGCGACUGAUGAUGAUG